CCUACGGGAGGCUGCAGUGGGGGAUAUUGCACAAUGGGGGAAACCCUGAUGCAGCGACGCCGCGUGAGUGAAGAAGUAUUUCGGUAUGUAAAGCUCUAUCAGCAGGGAAGAAAAUGACAGUACCUGACCAAGAAGCCCCGGCUAACGACGUGCCAGCAACCGCGGUAAUACGUAGGGGGCAAGCGUUAUCCGGAUUUACUGGGUGUAAAGGGAGCGUAGGCGGUUAUGUAAGUCUGGAGUGAAAGGCCGGGGCCCAACCCCGGGAGUGCUUUUGAAACUGUGUAACUGGAGUGCAGGAGGAGCAGGCGGAAUGCGUGGUGUAGCGGUGAAAUGCAUAGAUAUCAGGAAGAACGCCGACGGCGAAGGCAGCCUGCUGGAGUGAAACUGACGCUGAGGCUCGAAAGCGUGGGGAGCGAACAGGAUUAGAUACCCCAGUAGUC
rnacentral:rRNA from 1 species